AUUGAACGCUGGCGGCAGGCCUAACACAUGCAAGUCGAACGGUAACAGGAAGAAGCUUGCUUCUUUGCUGACGAGUGGCGGGCGGGUGAGUAAUGUCUGGGAAACUGCCUGAUGGAGGGGGAUAACUACUGGAAACGGUAGCUAAUACCGCAUAACGUCGCAAGACCAAAGAGGGGGACCUUCGGGCCUCUUGCCAUCGGAUGUGCCCAGAUGGGAUUAGCUAGUAGGUGGGGUAACGGCUCACCUAGGCGACGAUCCCAAGCUGGUCUGAGAGGAUGACCGGCCACACUGGAACUGAGACACGGUCCAGACUCCUACGGGAGGCAGCAGUGGGGAAUAUUGCACAAUGGGCGCAAGCCUGAUGCAGCCAUGCCGCGUGUAUGAAGAAGGCCUUCGGGUUGUAAAGUACUUUCAGCGGGGAGGAAGGGAGUAAAGUUAAUACCUUUGCUCAUUGACGUUACCCGCAGAAGAAGCACCGGCUAACUCCGUG
rnacentral:rRNA from 1 species